rnacentral:rRNA from 1 species
AUACGGAGGGUGCAAGCGUUACUCGGAAUCACUGGGCGUAAAGCGCGCGCAGGCGGUCUUUUAAGUUGGAUGUGAAAGCCUACAGCUCAACUGUAGAACUGCAUCCAAAACUAUUAGACUAGAGUCUGGGAGGGGAAGAUGGAAUUAGUUGUGUAGGGGUAAAAUCCAUAGAGAUAACUAGGAAUACCAAAAGCGAAGGCGAUCUUCUGGAACAGUACUGACGCUGAGGCGCGAAAGCGUGGGGAGCAAACAGGAUUAGAAACCCCGGUAGUCC